GCCACCAUAGCUCAGUGGUUAGAGCAGUGUUCUUGUAAAGCAACGGUUGUGAAUUCUAUUCUCACUGGUGGCU